rnacentral:lncRNA from 1 species
CGCAAGGCUCUGCGUCGGAACCUCCUGGCUUUCUCUGCAAACCUCACUGCCCUUUGACCUUGAAAAAAUGCUUUCCAUUUUAAUCAUAUCGUCGCUUGACCGAAGACUGGUGGCAUUCCAGAAUGGUGCUUCAGUUCUCAAACCCCUUACUGAUGGGCGGGAGUCAGCAGCCAGAAAUUACCAGUGACUUCCCCCGCCUUGUACUUCAGCUUGACUACGUGAAAGCGCUCAGCCCAGAGAGACACGUUGAUGCUACAUUCUCACAUUAAUGAAUCAGCCGGAGAAACUUGGGUAGAUUCUCAGAGCUGGAGGUCUUGGGGUCAUCGACAUUUUAUGUUUGGAGAGGUCCAGGGCAAAGAGACAGAAGUAGCCCCCAAUCGCUGUUAGACCUGGAGAGUCCAGGAGUUGAUGCUACCUUCUUCCUUGAACUUGAUACUGGACCUCUUAAUCUCAAGUUCGUGUGCCCGAAGUAUAGCAGGCCAAACGCUGAGACAUCAUCCGUGCUUGGAGUUGGAGAAAGGUUUAUUUGCAUUGGCCAAAAGGAGAAGGCAGGAGCCUGGGUUCCUCGCUCAAAUGCCCCUCCCCAAGAAUAGAAAGCAGGGACUUUUAUAAGAGUUAACGGGUUUGGCGGGUGGAGCUUCGGAGAAACAAAGGGGUCACUCCCGAUGAGCCCCUGGACAAUCUGAUGUUGGGGCUUCACCGACUGCUGAGGGCUGGCCAUCUGGGGAUCCCAGCCUCCCUGAAGGAUUUCUCUUUCUUCCGCCAAACAAACUCACAACUCCUCAAGACCUGAGGCACCCCUCAAGCUAAACAAGUAAACAGCAAAUCGACAAAAUUUGUCUAUUGUCUGUGCUGAGAACAAGGUCAAAAGGCAGUCAUGUUCUUAUUGAAUAUCUACAGUGACCCUCAGCUCACCAGCUUCAAACUCAUGGCAGGACAUGCAAAUCUGCAGCUUCCCUCCGUCCUGAUUCUCGGCGGUAUAUGCCACAGAUCUCAGGGGUUUGAGAAAUGAAUA